rnacentral:rRNA from 1 species
CACAUGACUCUCGGCAACGGAUAUCUCGGCUCUUGCAUCGAUGAAGAACGUAGCAAAAUGCGAUACCUGGUGUGAAUUGCAGAAUCCCGUGAACCAUCGAGUUUUUGAACGCAAGUUGCGCCCGAGGCCUUUUGGCCGAGGGCACGUCUGCCUGGGCGUCACGC